rnacentral:rRNA from 1 species
UGGGGAAUAUUGGGCAAUGGGCGCAAGCCUGACCCAGCAACGCCGCGUGAGGGAAGAAGGCUUUCGGGUUGUAAACCUCUGUCCUUGGUGACGAAAAAAAUGACGGUAGCCAAGGAGGAAGCCCCGGCUAACUACGUGCCCGCAGCCGCGGUAAUACGUAGGGGGCGAGCGUUGUCCGGAAUUACUGGGCGUAAAGGGUGCGUAGGCGGCCUGUUAAGUUGGAUGUGAAAUACCCGGGCUUAACUUGGGGGGUGCAUCUAAUACUGGAGGGCUAGAGUGCAGGAGAGGGAAGCGGAAUUCCUAGUGUAGCGGUGAAAUGCGUAGAUAUUAGGAGGAACACCAGUGGCGAAGGCGGCUUUCUGGACUGUAACUGACGCUGAGGCACGAAAGCGUGGGGAGCAAACA